rnacentral:rRNA from 1 species
UACGUAGGGUGCGAGCGUUGUCCGGAAUUACUGGGCGUAAAGAGCUCGUAGGUGGUUUGUCGCGUUGUCCGUGAAAACUCACAACUCAAUUGUGGGCGUGCGGGCGAUACGGGCAGACUGGAGUACUGCAGGGGAGACUGGAAUUCCUGGUGUAGCGGUGGAAUGCGCAGAUAUCAGGAGGAACACCAAUAGCGAAGGCAGCUCGCUGGGACGUUACUGACACUAAGGCGCGAAAGCGUGGGGAGCGAACGAGGA